rnacentral:lncRNA from 1 species
CACAUCAUCACAAGAGGAAGGAUGUAUUCAGUACAGUAUGAAGUCUUCGGAGAGCAAGAGAGAGUCGAUAUUCACCUAACUUUAAUGACAGUACAUUGUUACAUAUUUGAGAAAACUGAAACUUGUCAACUGGUUGCACAUCAAUAAUGAAUGCGAGGCUUGGACAAGAAAACAGAAUAAAUCUGAAUUGACAAUUGUUGACCAAGGAGACCUCCACAGCUUUCUCAUCUGCUUGUUGUACCCAAG